rnacentral:rRNA from 1 species
CGCCCGUCGCUACUACCGAUUGAAUGGUUUAGUGAGAUCCUCGGAUUGGACCGGAGGUGGCGCAAGUUGCCUCUAGGUUCCGAGAAGACGAUCAAACUUGAUCAUUUAGAGGAAGUAAAAGUCGUAACAAGGUUUCC